rnacentral:lncRNA from 1 species
CACAGCGAGCGCCAAAAUCUUUAACAGUAUGACCACAAUAAUCGAUGCUUCCUGAAUUAAAUUGCGAACAUACACACGUACGAAUCAGACUGAAGCAGCAACGAUAGCAUUUCUUCAGAUAUUUCCGACGGAAUAACAGUGCUGAACAGUGUUACUUCAGAUCCAAUUAACAGUGCUGAGUGCGCAAUUUCUUACAGGAUGACAGUCGGAACAUAAUCUAACUACAGGGUAACAUCAAUUCAUCACACCACGAGGAACCAGGAAAGAGGGGGACUCGCAGAGAAGAAGGCAGGAGCCUAGGAGGAGGUGAACUUGGUGACGGCCUUGGUGCCCUCUGACACGGCGUGCUUGGCGAGCUCGCCGGGCAGGACGAGGCGGACGGAGGUCUGGAUCUCCCGGGACGUGAUGGUGGGCUUCUUGUUGUAGCGCGCCAGCUUGGCGGCCUCGCCGGCGAGCUUCUCGAAGAUGUCGUUGAUGAAGGAGUUCAUGAUGGACAUGGCCUUGGAGGAGAUGCCGAUGUCGGGGUGCACCUGCUUCAGCACCUUGAAGAUGUAGAUCUUGUACGUCUCCACGCUCUUCUUGGCCUUCUUCUUGCCCUUCUUGUCGCCA